rnacentral:rRNA from 1 species
UACGUAGGGUGCGAGCGUUAAUCGGAAUUACUGGGCGGAAAGCGUGCGCAGGCGGUUCGCUGUGUCCUGUGUGAAAGCCCCGGGCUUAACCUGGGAGGUGCGUCUGGGACUGGUAUGCUAGAGUUCGGGAGAGGAGAGUGGAAUUCCCAGUGUAGAGGUGAAAUGCGUAGAUAUAGGAAGGAACACCAGUGGCGAAGGCGACCACCUGGACUGAUACUGACACUGAGGUGCGAAAGCGUGGGGUGUAAAUAGG